rnacentral:lncRNA from 1 species
UGCGCAAGGCUUGAAUGGCGUCGGGGUUGGAGGGUUGGAAGGUCGGGAAGUGAAGGACUCGCAGGCAUAUUUAACAACGCAAAGUUGCUAGGAGUUGGUACCAGCGUUUGGGAGGUAGAGGUGGCGCUCAUGCAUAUUUGAGACAACAUCUGGAUGGUUGGGGAGAACGGUGAUGCCACACUCAAUCAGAAACUAUGCUACUGCUGAAGAGGUAUAUUGAGCCCUGCCUGGUUAACCUCCAGUGAGGUUAUUAGAGAAUUGGGAGAGGCUCAAAUCAGCAUCCUGCACCUAGUUAUCAAACCAUUGUGAAGUCUUGCAAGUUCAUCAGAGGGCGAGGAUGAAUUACGGUUGCCAUGAAUGUCCUUGUGAGGCAGUUGGGAAGCCUUGGCUGGAUUGUGAAGGAUAUUUGAAAAGUAUUUUAGAGUCCACCAGAUCAUCCAUGUGAGUGACCAUGCAGCAAAAGAAGGAGGGUCCUCUCAGUGAUUAAGGUAACAUAGUGAUUAAGGAUUAUGAAGUAUUAAUUCUUCCACUGAUAUCUCAAAAGGUGAUCUGGACAAAGGAACAGGUAUCUCAG